CUUCCAUGAAGGUUACAUCACAUGUAAAGCUUCAAAAGCUGCUGCGUUUGAACACAAAGCCAUCAUCAAUUUGGAUUCGUUAUUUCUGUAAAGUUCGCAAGUCCUUUGAAACCUUAGAAAAUGCCGAACUAUUUUUCAACUCAAGAAAUGUGGAAUUGAGUGAACAAUCAGCUGCCGAAGAAACAGGAAAAAUUCCCUUGAAAAGAGCCAGAAGACCAACAGAAAGAUACUCACCAACUCUAAGCUCAAAUGAGUCAUCUAGUGCAUCGGAAUCUGAUGAAGAAGCAGAAGCUGCUUCAAAAUCAGCAGCUAGUAGAAUCAAUCGAAGUUAUUCUGCCAGACACUAUCUGCAGUUACCUAAUAUUCCAAUGCCCUCUGCUCCAUCUAUCAUUUCCGGGCUCUCCCCGUCUUUAUAGAGGCUCUUACUGGGGUUAUUAAUGGAUCAUUGGAAUCAACUAGUAGUAGAGCAACCAGAAAGAAUGUGGACAAAACACAGCCGCAACAAACCCAAUCUUCUCUCUUCGCUGGCAUGCCGUUGCAUGACAAAUUGUGCCAUGUUGCUAAUCCUUCCGCGAAUCCUGUGCGUCACAAAAGGUUAGCUCCUUGCUCCAACGGCCAUCUUCAAAUCGAGGGGAUCAGUUUCAAUCAGUGCUGAUAAACAUGUUAACAAAGCAACAAACUCAAAUUGACGUAUUAAUUCUGAACCAACAAGCGUCAUCAGCUGAUGCAACAAUUGACCA